rnacentral:rRNA from 1 species
AAGCUUGCUUCUCGCUGACGAGCGGCGGACGGGUGAGUAAUUGUAUGGGGAUCUGCCCGAUAGAGGGGGAUACUACUGGAAACGGUAUCUAUUACCGCAUAAUCUCUUAAGAGCGAAGCAGGGGAACUUCGGUCCUUGCUCUAUCGUAUGAACCCCUAUGGGAUUUUCUAUUUUGUGAAGGAAUGGGCCCCCAAGGGAACAAUCUCUAGCUGGUCUGAGAGGAUGAUCAGCCACACUGGGACUGAGACACGGCCCAGAACUCCUUACGGGAGGCAGCAGUGGGGAAUAUUGCGCCAAUGGGCGCAAGCCUGAUGCAGCCCAUGCCGCGUGUAUUAAGAAGGCCCUAGGGUUGUAAAGUACUUUCAGUCGGGAGGAAGGCGUUGAUGCUUAUAUCAUCGGUCGAUUGACGUUUACCGACAGAAGAAAGCACCGGGCUAACUCCGUGCCAGCAGCCGCGGUAAUACGGAGGGUGCAAGCGUUAAUCGGAAUUACUGGGCGUUAAGCGCACGCAGGCGGUUGAUUAAGUUAGAUGUGAAAUCCCCCGGGCUUAACCUGGGAAUGGCAUCUAAGACUGGUCAGCUAGAGUCUUGUAGAGGGGGGUAGAAUUCCAUGUGUAGCGGUGAAAUGCGUAGAGAUGUGGAGGAAUACCGGUGGCGAAGGCGGCCCCCUGGACAAAGACUGACGCUCAGGUGCGAAAGCGUGGGGAGCAAACCGGAUUAGAUACCCUGGUAGUCCACGCUGUAAACGAUGUCGAUUUGAAGGUUGUUCCCUUGAGGAGUGGCUUUCGGAGCU